AUCCAGCUGAAAGUCCCAAAUAGCAUGAAACGCGCUUCCUGGAU
rnacentral:hammerhead_ribozyme from 1 species